GAUGAACGCUGGCGGCGUGCUUAACACAUGCAAGUCGAACGGGAUCCCAGGAGCUUGCUCCUGGGUGAGAGCGGCGAACGGGUGAGUAAUGCGUGACCGACCUGCCCCAUACACCGGAAUAGCUCCUGGAAACGGGUGGUAAUGCCGGAUGCUCCAGUUGGAUGCAUGUCCUUCUGGGAAAGAUUCAUCGGUAUGGGAUGGGGUCGCGUCCUAUCAGCUUGAUGGCGGGGUAACGGCCCACCAUGGCUUCGACGGGUAGCCGGCCUGAGAGGGCGACCGGCCACAUUGGGACUGAGAUACGGCCCAGACUCCUACGGGAGGCAGCAGUGGGGAAUAUUGCACAAUGGGCGCAAGCCUGAUGCAGCGACGCCGCGUGCGGGAUGACGGCCUUCGGGUUGUAAACCGCUUUUGACUGGGAGCAAGCCCUUCGGGGUGAGUGUACCUUUCGAAUAAGCACCGACU
rnacentral:rRNA from 1 species